rnacentral:tRNA from 1 species
GCCCAGGUGGCUUAGUGGUAAAGAAUCUGCCUGCAAUGCAGGAGACGCAGGUUCAAUCCCUGGGUU